rnacentral:rRNA from 1 species
GUGGGGAAUAUUGGACAAUGGGCGAAAGCCUGAUCCAGCCAUGCCGCGUGUGUGAAGAAGGUCUUCGGAUUGUAAAGCACUUUAAGUUGGGAGGAAGGGCAGUAAGUUAAUACCUUGCUGUUUUGACGUUACCGACAGAAUAAGCACCGGCUAACUUCGUGCCAGCAGCCGCGGUAAUACGAAGGGUGCAAGCGUUAAUCGGAAUUACUGGGCGUAAAGCGCGCGUAGGUGGUUUUGUAAGUUGGAGGUGAAAUCCCCGGGCUCAACCUGGGAACUGCCUCCAAAACUGCAUGACUAGAGUACGGUAGAGGGUAGUGGAAUUUCCUGUGUAGCGGUGAAAUGCGUAGAUAUAGGAAGGAACACCAGUGGCGAAGGCGACUACCUGGACUGAUACUGACACUGAGGUGCGAAAGCGUGGGAAGCAAACAGGAUUAGAAACCCCGGUAGUCC